AGUAAAGUUGCAGGCAUAGAAAAAGAAACUAACAGUGGGUCUAGCAAUCUCAAGGAUCUGGUCACCCCGGACGUGCUUCAGUCAAGGGACAAGAAGGUGACUGCCCCCAAGGAGACCAAGGCCAGGUUCGAGGACAGGUUCAAGGCUGAGAAGAACAGGUGGUCCUUGAGAUUCAAUUGCAAAUUAGAUGUAAUCUCUCUUCUCUCGCGAACACAGAGUGGGCUGUGGGUGAGGUUUGUUGAUUUUUGAGAAGGUUUGGAGACUGUAAGUGGGGUUUUCAAUCUUGCUCUUUCUAUGGAAUUAUGUAGUUGUUGAUGUCAAAAAAAAUGUAGUUGUUGAUGGGUUUCUUGGAAUAAGCGAAAUGGGCAAGUACCCAAAUUAUUUUUUCUUCUUUGUUGAUAUUUCAUUGUGCCUACAGAUAUUUGUUGAUUUGCUAGAGAUUAUGUCCUUUUCCUUUUUGCAUCACCAUUUCAUUAUCUAAUGAUUCAGAUUUGUCCUGUUUUGAUAAGAUUUGAGAGGUAUUGAAAGUGGAAACAGAGUGUACUCGAUGCCAUUUUUUUGUUUCUGUUCACCUUGAAUAUGCAGAUUCAAAAAAGAAAAACACAAGACCUGGGAGCAAUCUAGGAGACUUUGGACGAGAUGUAGCAUGUGUCGUUUCAAAUUCAACAUCAUAUAUGCGGUAGUUUUCACUACCGCAUAGAAGCCAGAUCCGAACCAGAAGGUUACAUGAUCCAAAUCAUUCAUAUUAAAGAAAAAGACCAAGAUAGCCCUCUUCAACUAGGUUGAAAUAACGAACAUGCCCUGUCACAGCAAUGAUGACGUGGCUACUGUCACUAGAACCAAAUCGUCGCGCCACAUAACCUCACCAACGCUGUAUUUCCGAUCAAUCUUGCGGACCUUUACUUGACUCACAUAGACCAUAGUCUCACCAGCAAAAGCAGUAAAGCACCACACUCGCGCUGGUUCCUAUUGAUCGAUCGGAAGGUCCCGCCAUGGCGGCAGAGAAAGCGACGAACGAGUCGGAAAUCGAGGGCGAGGACGACCUCGACGAAGAGCCUGGGGAGGUGAUCGAAUCGGCGCCACCUCUCAAGGUCGGCGACGAGCGCGAGCUCGGUAGCUUUGGCCUCAAGAAGAAGCUCCUCAAGCGCGGCCAUGGAUGGGAGACCCCUGAGCUCGGUGACGAAGUCACUGUUCAUUAUGUUGGUACUUUGCUUGACGGAACAAAGUUCGAUUCCACCAGAGAUAGAGGCGAACCUUUGACUAUAAAGCUUGGUAACGGUCAAGUGGUUACUGGACUGGAUCAAGGGAUAAUUACAAUGCAGAAGGAGGAGACCUCGAUGUUCACAUUGCCUCCUGAAUUAGCCUACGGAGCUGCGGGCCUCAACGGCGCGGUUCCGCCCAAUUCAGUUGUUCAGUUUGAAGUCCAGCUCGUCUCAUGGAUCACAGUGGUGGAUAUUUGCAAAGGCGGUGGAAUUAUCAAGAAAAUAAUGGAGAAGGGAGACAGGAAUGAGGUUCCUGGUGAUUUGGACGAAGUUCUUGUGAAGUACCGAGUGGCGCUGGAUGAUGGCACUGUUGUUGCCGAGACAACAGAAGAAGGAUUUGAAUUUUAUGUGAAGGAUGGUCAUCUUUGUCCAGCAUUGCCAAAGGCUGUAAGGACCAUGAGAAGGGGAGAGAAGGCCCAAUUAGUUGUUCAACCUCAGUAUGCCUUUGGGGAGGAGGGGAGGAACAUGAGUAAUGGGGUUCAUUCAAUUCCCCCAAGUUCUUUGCUGAACAUUGAUGUGGAGUUGGUCUCCUUCAAGCCUGUUAUUGACAUUAUUGGUGAUUCCAAAGUAUUUAAGAAGAUCUUAAAAGAAGGUGAAGGUGCUGUUGUUGCUAAUGAGGGUGCAACUGUUACUAUUAGCUAUGUGGCUAGGCUGGAAGAUGGCACUGUAUUUGAGAAAAAAGGAAUUGAUGGAGAGCAGCCUUUGGAGUUUAUAACUGAUGAAGAACAAGUAAUUGCUGGUCUAGACCGAGCAGUGGCAACAAUGAAGAAGGGAGAGCGAGCGAUAUUGACUAUACAUCCUGAUUUUGGAUUUGGAAGCAGUGAAGUAAGGCGGGAUCUUGCUGUAAUUCCACCAUCUUCAAAUGUAGUCUAUGAAGUUGAAAUGUUAGAUUUUUUUAAGGAAAAAGCACCUUCGGAAAUGAGUAACAGUGAGAAGAUUGAGGCUGCUAGAAUGAAGAAAGAAGAAGGCAAUCUAUUAUUUAAAACUGGAAAGUAUCAACAAGCAGGGAAAAAAUAUGACAAGGCUGCAGACUACAUAAGUGAAGAUGAAUCGUUUGGGGAUGAUGAGGAAAAGCUUGCUAAAAAAUUAAGAGUUGCUUGCUGGUUGAACCGUGCAGCAUGUAGCCUCAAAUUACAUGACUUUCAGGGAACAAUCAAGUUAUGUUCACAGGUGCUAGACAUUGAGUUCCACAAUGUAAAAGCUUUGUACAGGCGAGCACAAGCUUAUAUGGAAACUUCAGAUUUUUUCUCUGCAGAAUUAGAUAUCAAGAAAGUUCUUGAGACUGAUCCACUGCACAGGGAGGUGAAAUUGAUUCAGAAGAAUUUGAAACGACUUCAAGCUGAAAGCAACCAGAGAGACUCAAAGCUCUACAUAAACAUGUUUGCACGUAUGACAAGGGACACUCCUGUGGCAACAAAGAAAUUGAAGGUUGAAAAAGUGGAGGAUGAUGAAAAUGUGGCAAUGGAAAUAGAAAUGGAAAGAGUUGGUGAUAGUUCAGCCCCUCCUGAUGGUGAAAUGGUUGUUGACUCUUGUUGAAAGAUCUGUUCAUGAAACAUGUACAAUCAUGAUAGCUCUUUAGAGCCAAGGAUCGAAAAUGACUAAGAGAGUCAUUAUAGAGGAAAAGGAAACAAUCAUGAUAGUCGGUCAUUAACUAUCUCAAGCUAAACAUGUUUGCACGUAUGACAAGGGACACUCCUGUGGCAACAAAGAAAAUCACUGUUCAAGUGGUUUUUAGUUGGGGAACCACAUGAAGAUGACCAGGGGUGUGAUGGGAAAUUUAGUGAAAAUAAUGUGAGUUUAUAUAUAUUAUUUUCUAAUUGGAACUUGAGGCAUGAAUCUGUACUCUUUAAAGGAGUCAUCUACCACGGCAGAUGUAUCUCAAUAUAAUAUGUGACCUUAAAAUGAUA